CAGCCGUUGCUCCAAACGCUCUUACAUAGCAGUCUGUUUGUGUGUUUCAAAGCGAUGGUUGGUGAUCCACGUAGAGGUAAAACCUAUAUUGUAAGAAGACUAGUCAUAUGUACAUCCAAACUUAUCGUUAAUAUCAUCAGCUUUCAGGAGACCUGGCAAAGCAUUUUACACGGAUCGGCUCAGGGACGUUGGAGCAUCAACCGUGGAGAUAAUAAUUCGGUGUGGAGUCUUCCAGUGAGGUGUGGUGGAGUGUGAUCGUAAAGCCAUCCGGUCAAGUAUCUUGUUCUUGGGGUAGUUGGUCGUAACGAGAGGGUGACACCGCGACGUUGGUCAGGCCAGACAAGUGGAAUAACCAACUCUAUUGUGUGGAUCUAUUGCCAACGAGAGGAUAACACUCUGCUGGUUGCUCACCCACCAAGGAAAAUUGCUCAACUUCACCGCCCCGUCUUGCCGGAUUUUACACUCUCGGGAGAGGGGAACCUUGGUUUGAGCAUCUAGGCUUGAGAAGAAGCCCAUUGGCGAAAAACUUGUG